rnacentral:rRNA from 1 species
AUGAAACACUCCUACGGGAGGCAGCAGUGGGGAAUAUUGGACAAUGGGGGCAACCCUGAUCCAGCAAUUCUGUGUGCACGAAGAAGGUUUUCGGAUUGUAAAGUGCUUUCAGCAGGGAAGAAGAAAGUGACGGUACCUGCAGAAGAAGCGACGGCUAAAUACGUGCCAGCAGCCGCGGUAAUACGUAUGUCGCAAGCGUUAUCCGGAAUUAUUGGGCAUAAAGGGCAUCUAGGCGGCCAGACAAGUCUGGGGUGAAAACUUGCGGCUCAACCGCAAGCCUGCCCUGGAAACUGUUUGGCUAGAGUGCUGGAGAGGUGGACGGAACUGCACGAGUAGAGGUGAAAUUCGUAGAUAUGUGCAGGAAUGCCGAUGAUGAAGAUAGUUCACUGGACGGUAACUGACGCUGAAGUGCGAAAGCUGGGGGAGCGAACAGGAUUAGAAACCCUAGUAGUCCGAAGUUC